GAUGAACGCUGGCGGCAUGCCUAAUACAUGCAAGUCGAACGAGAGGAAGGAAAGCUUGCUUUUCUGAAUCUAGUGGCGAACGGGUGAGUAACACGUAGGUAACCUGCCCAUGUGCCCGGGAUAACUUCUGGAAACGGAUGCUAAAACCGGAUAGGUAGCAGACAAGCAUUUGACUGCUAUUAAAGUGGCUAAGGCCAUGAACAUGGAUGGACCUGCGGUGGAUUAGCUAGUUGGUGAGGUAACGGCCCACCAAGGCGACGAUGCAUAGCCGGCCUGAGAAGGCGGACGGCCACAUUGGGACUGAGACACGGCCCAAACUCCUACGGGAGGCAGCAGUAGGGAAUUUUCGUCAAUGGGGGGAACCCUGAACGAGCAAUGCCGCGUGAGUGAGGAAGGUCUUCGGAUCGUAAAGCUCUGUUGUAAGAGGAAAACGACAUUCAUAGGGAAUGAUGAGUGAGUGAUGGUAUCUUACCAGAAAGUCACGGCUAACUACGUGCCAGCAGCCGCCGUAAAAC
rnacentral:rRNA from 1 species